UAAGGAAUAUUGGUCAAUGGAGGCAACUCUGAACCAGCCAUGCCGCGUGCAGGAAGAAGGCCCUAUGGGUCGUAAACUGCUUUUGAACAAGAGAAAACCCCGGUACGUGUACUGGGUUGAUAGUAUUGUUAGAAUAAGCAUCGGCUAACUUCGUGUCAGCAGCCGCGGUAAGACGAAGGAUGCAAGCGUUAUCCGGAUUCAUUGGGUUUAAAGGGUGCGUAGGCGGACUGAUAAGUCAGUGGUGAAAUCUCUCGGCUUAACCGAGAAACUGCCAUUGAUACUGUUAGUCUAGAGUACAGAUGAUGUGGGCGGAAUAUGACAUGUAGUGGUGAAAUACUUAGAUAUGUCAUAGAACACCGAUUGCGAAGGCAGCUCACAAAACUGUAACUGACGCUGAGGCACGAAAGUGCGGGGAUCAAACAGGAUUAGAUACCCACGUAGUCCCUGAGCGGGCUGGCAAGGCGCAU
rnacentral:rRNA from 1 species